AGUGAACGCUGGCGGUAGGCCUAACACAUGCAAGUCGAACGGCAGCACAGUAAGAGCUUGCUCUUACGGGUGGCGAGUGGCGGACGGGUGAGGAAUACAUCGGAAUCUACUUUUUCGUGGGGGAUAACGUAGGGAAACUUACGCUAAUACCGCAUACGACCUACGGGUGAAAGCAGGGGAUCUUCGGACCUUGCGCGAUUGAAUGAGCCGAUGUCGGAUUAGCUAGUUGGCGGGGUAAAGGCCCACCAAGGCGACGAUCCGUAGCUGGUCUGAGAGGAUGAGCAUCCACACUUGAACUGAGACACGGUCCAGACUCCUACGGGAGGCAGCAUUGGGGAAUAUUGGACAAUGGGCGCAAGCCUGAUCCAGCCAUACCGCGUGGGUGAAGAAGGCCUUCGGGUUGUAAAGCCCUUUUGUUGGGAAAGAAAAGCAGCAGGUUAAUACCCCGCUGUUCUGACGGUACCCAAAGAAUAAGCACCGGCUAACUUCGUG
rnacentral:rRNA from 1 species